GUGAAGAACGUAGUGAAAUGCGAUACGUAAUGUGAAUUGCAGAAUUCAGUGAAUCAUCGAGUCUUUGAACGCACAUUGCGCCCCCUGGUAUUCCGGGGGGCAUGCCUGUCCGAGCGUCAUUGCUGCCCUCAAGCACGGCUUGUGUGUUGGGCCUCCGCCCCCCGGCUCCCGGGGGGCGGGCCCGAAAGGCAGCGGCGGCACCGCGUCCGGUCCUCGAGCGUAUGGGGCUUCGUCACCCGCUCCGUAGGCCCGGCCGGCGCCCGCCGGCGACCCCCCUCAAUCUUUCCAGGUUGACCUCGGAUCAGGUAGGGAUACCCGCUGAACUUAAGCAUAUCAAUAAGCGGAGGA
rnacentral:misc_RNA from 1 species